ensembl:snRNA U6 U6 spliceosomal RNA
GUACUUGCUUCAGCAGCACAUAGACUAAAGUGGGAACAUUACAGAGAAGAUUAGCAUGGCCCAAGCAAGGCUAACACACUUUCGGGGAGAGUGCCAUAUUUUUUUU